rfam:Xenorhabdus poinarii str. G6 chromosome, complete genome.
AAUCGUUGUAAACAUGCAUAGAAAGUGAUAACUCUUAAAUAUACAUCAAGCAUACGAGUUAAAAACACAUAAAAUUAUGAACGCAUUUGUCCUAGUGAUUAGCCUAAUUAUUGAAAGCGUGGUGGUGAUUAUUCCACCGUGCGGGGCUGCACUUGGACGAAGAACGGCUUAGACAGAAAAACAGCCAGAUUCCAAGAACCCCGCACCGAAAGGCGCGGGGUUUUUUUUAGGCUUGAUACGUAGAAGCGAAUAUAAAAAACAUCACAACAGACAAUCAUAAGUA